rnacentral:rRNA from 1 species
CAAUAGCGUAUAUUUAAGUUGUUGCAGUUAAAAAGCUCGUAGUUGAAUUUCGGAUGGGACUUGCCGGUCCGUCGUUUCGAUGUGCACUGGCCAGUCCUAUCUUGUUGUCGGGGACUAGCUCCUGGGCUUCACUGUCCGGGACUAGGAGCUGACGAGGUUACUUUGAGUAAAUUAGAGUGUUCAAAGCAAGCCUACGCUCUGAAUACAUUAGCAUGGAAUAACACGAUAGGACUCUGGCUUAUCUUGUUGGUCUGUGAGACCAGAGUAAUGAUUAAGAGGGACAGUCGGGGGCAUUCGUAUUUCAUUGUCAGAGGUGAAAUUCUUGGAUUUAUGAAAGACGAACUUCUGCGAAAGCAUUUGUCAAGGAUGUUUUCAUUA